UGGGUUUGACAUGCAGAGGAAAUGCUCACUUUCGUGAGCAUUUCCUCUGCAUGUCAAACCCAGGUAAGGUUCUUCGCGUUGCCUCGAAUUAAACCACACGCUCCGCUGCUUGUGCGGGCCCCCGCCUAUUCCUUUGAGUUUUAACCUUGCGGCCGUAGUCCCCAGGCGGUGAACUUAAUGCGUUAGCUGCGGCACUGAUCGGGUCAAUCCGACCAACACCUAGUUCACAACGUUUAGGGCGUGGACUAC
rnacentral:misc_RNA from 1 species